rfam:Salmo salar isolate Sally breed double haploid chromosome ssa16, whole genome shotgun sequence.
UGUAUUCACUACUAUAAUUCGCUCUGGAUAAGAGUGUCUGCUAAAUGACGUAAA